UACGGAGGGUGCAAGCGUUGUCCGGAAUCACUGGGCGUAAAGGGCGCGUAGGCGGCUCGGUAAGUAGGGGGUGAAAUCCUGCGGCUUAACCGCAGGGCUGCCUUCUAAACUGUCGAGCUCGAGCACGGUAGAGGCAGAUGGAAUUCCCGGUGUAGCGGUGGAAUGCGCAGAUAUCGGGAAGAACACCCGUGGCGAAGGCGGUUCUCUGGGACGGUACUGACGCUGAGACGCGAAAGCGUGGGGAGCGAACAGG
rnacentral:rRNA from 1 species